GCAGUGCCGAGGAGUCCCACAAUAGGACGAAACGGCCGUCCAGUGC
rnacentral:hammerhead_ribozyme from 1 species